UUAGAUACCCUACUAUAUUAAUAAUAAUCUAGAUUAUUAUUAGAAGUAUGUUCUAUAAACUUAAAAAAUUUGGCGGUGAUUUAAUCCCAUUAGAGGAACCUGUUUUAUGAAUCGAUAAACCACGUAAAAUCUUACUCAUUUUAUCAGUAGUUUAUAUACCGUCAUUAGCAGAUAAUUUUCAAAGAAAUAAUUAUUAAAAUUUUUUUUUAACUAAAUAAAUUAAAUUAGAUCAAGGUGUAGCUUAUAAUUGAGUUAAAAUGGGUUACAAUAAAAUUUAUUUAAAAUGGAGUAAACUGUCUGAAUUGAUAAUAUGAAGGAGGAUUUAAUUGUAACAUAAGUUUAAUAAGCUUAGGAGAGAUAGGUUCUAAAUCAUGUACAUAUCGCCCGUCGC
rnacentral:rRNA from 1 species